CUCUCUGACUCUUGACCUCAAAUCAGGUAGGACUACCCGC
rnacentral:rRNA from 1 species